rnacentral:rRNA from 1 species
UAGGUUAACGAGGCGAACCGGGGGAACUGAAACAUCUAAGUACCCCGAGGAAAAGAAAUCAACCGAGAUUCCCCCAGUAGCGGCGAGCGAACGGGGAGCAGCCCAGAGUCUGAAUCAGCUUGUGUGUUAGUGGAACGGUCUGGAAAGUCCGACGGUACAGGGUGAUAGUCCCGUACACCAAAAUGCACAGGCUGUGAACUCGAAGAGUAGGGCGGGACACGUGGUAUCCUGUCUGAAUAUGGGGGGACCAUCCUCCAAGGCUAAAUACUCCUGACUGACCGAUAGUGAACCAGUACCGUGAGGGAAAGGCGAAAAGAACCCCGGCGAGGGGAGUGAAAAAGAACCUGAAACCGUGUACGUACAAGCAGUGGGAGCACCUUCGGGUGUGACUGCGUACCUUUUGUAUAAUGGGUCAGCGACUUAUAUUCUGUAGCAAGGUUAACCGUAUAGGGGAGCCGCAGGGAAACCGAGUCUUAACUGGGCGUUAAGUUGCAGGGUAUAGACCCGAAACCCGGUGAUCUAGCCAUGGGCAGGUUGAAGGUUGGGUAACACUAACUGGAGGACCGAACCGACUAAUGUUGAAAAAUUAGCGGAUGACUUGUGGCUGGGGGUGAAAGGCCAAUCAAACCGGGAGAUAGCUGGUUCUCCCCGAAAGCUAUUUAGGUAGCGCCUCGUGAACUCAUCUUCGGGGGUAGAGCACUGUUUCGGCUAGGGGGUCAUCCCGACUUACCAACCCGAUGCAAACUACGAAUACCGAAGAAUGUUAUCACGGGAGACACACGGCGGGUGCUAACGUCCGUCGUGAAGAGGGAAACAACCCAGACCGCCAGCUAAGGUCCCAAAGUCAUGGUUAAGUGGGAAACGAUGUGGGAAGGCACAGACAGCCAGGAUGUUGGCUUAGAAGCAGCCAUCAUUUAAAGAAAGCGUAAUAGCUCACUGGUCGAGUCGGCCUGCGCGGAAGAUGUAACGGGGCUAAACCAUGCACCGAAGCUGCGGCAGCGACACUAUGUGUUGUUGGGUAGGGGAGCGUUCUGUAAGCCUGCGAAGGUAUGCUGUGAGGCAUGCUGGAGGUAUCAGAAGUGCGAAUGCUGACAUAAGUAACGAUAAAGCGGGUGAAAAGCCCGCUCGCCGGAAGACCAAGGGUUCCUGUCCAACGUUAAUCGGGGCAGGGUGAGUCGACCCCUAAGGCGAGGCCGAAAGGCGUAGUCGAUGGGAAACAGGUUAAUAUUCCUGUACUUGGUGUUACUGCGAAGGGGGGACGGAGAAGGCUAUGUUAGCCGGGCGACGGUUGUCCCGGUUUAAGCAUGUAGGCUGAUUGUCCAGGCAAAUCCGGAUAAUCAAGGCUGAGGUGUGAUGACGAGGCACUACGGUGCUGAAGUAACAAAUGCCCUGCUUCCAGGAAAAGCCUCUAAGCAUCAGGUAACAUUAAAUCGUACCCCAAACCGACACAGGUGGUCAGGUAGAGAAUACCAAGGCGCUUGAGAGAACUCGGGUGAAGGAACUAGGCAAAAUGGUGCCGUAACUUCGGGAGAAGGCACGCUGGUGUGUAGGUGAAGUCCCUGCGGAUGGAGCUGAGACCAGUCGAAGAUACCAGCUGGCUGCAACUGUUUAUUAAAAACACAGCACUGUGCAAACACGAAAGUGGACGUAUACGGUGUGACGCCUGCCCGGUGCCGGAAGGUUAAUUGAUGGGGUUAUCCGUAAGGAGAAGCUCUUGAUCGAAGCCCCGGUAAACGGCGGCCGUAACUAUAACGGUCCUAAGGUAGCGAAAUUCCUUGUCGGGUAAGUUCCGACCUGCACGAAUGGCGUAAUGAUGGCCAGGCUGUCUCCACCCGAGACUCAGUGAAAUUGAACUCGCUGUGAAGAUGCAGUGUACCCGCGGCAAGACGGAAAGACCCCGUGAACCUUUACUAUAGCUUGACACUGAACAUUGAGCCUUGAUGUGUAGGAUAGGUGGGAGGCUUUGAAGCGUGGACGCCAGUCUGCGUGGAGCCAACCUUGAAAUACCACCCUUUAAUGUUU